AUGGUCCUUAUCCAGGCUAUCUGGCUGCUGGUGAAAGAGAUGUAAGCCAGCCAGUAAUAAUGUCUUCCUGCAAGAUCCAAACUGUCUGCAUAAAGAUGAGACUCGAGACAUCUGGGCAGUUGCUCCUCCUGUCACCUUGGAUUCUGUGGAUGGAACCGGUGGCAUUUCCUCUGAAGACGCACCAGGCUCUAACCUGGAGGCUGCUCAGCCUUUUGUUCUCACCGAGAUUUACUGGAUGUGCUGUGAUGGAGAGAGUAGUUGGAAAGAGGCUGACACUUAGAUUAGAUGUCACUGUGCCUUUCUAGCCCAGUUUAAUGGUUUACAGUUCGCUGUAGUAUCGGGUCCAGUCAACCUCACUGGCUGAAAUGAUAAAACCAACUUAUUGGGAAGGAAAGAGCUGACAUUGCCAAAGAGGCUUUCAAGGUCCUCAUCUGCUCCCCAACUUUCCUCUGCCAGGAGAAAAACGCUAAGAGAUUUGAGGACUUAUCGGAAGCUUUGGAGUUUCCCCGGAAAGAACCAGGAAACAACUUCCUGUCCAUAUUUGGAAGAGACUUCCUGUCUACUGGAAAAGGACUGGGUAAGUAGUAUGGAACCGCUCUCCUUGGCUUUCCUUAGACUCCUGGGCUGUUCCUUGGGAAAGGAGAAAUAAUGGGAGAAGUGCCUGGUGCCAUCAGGAGUCGUUGACCAAUCUGGGGCUAGGAUGCUGUCUAGAAAAGUAAGGUUCUCCUUCCCUCUGCCUCUCAGGUCUUAUGCUGAGGCCUGGCAGGCACUGAAGGUGCUUGUGUAGUGCCUCUCCUCUCUCUCCUCUCUUUCUUCAAGGCAGAGUUUCUUUUUUUGCAACAGCCCCAACUGUCCCAAAGCUUGCUUUGUAGACCAGGCUGGUCUAUCUCUUGAGUACUGGGAUCAAAGGUGUGGCCAUCACACCAGCCCCUUGUGCAGCCUCUAAGUGUCCUGGUUUAGGCAAGCUACACUGGUACAGGGAUGCCAGGCCAGCUGAGACAUGUUGUUCCUUUGCUUCCAUCCCCCACCCCCAUCACUCUUUGGUGGGUGGCUUAGUCAGGCAAUUGUGGGUCUCAUGGUCCAUGAAUCACUCACUAUCCACUUGCCUCUUCAGAAAGCCAGCGAACCACCUAAGGCUCCUGGUUGGCUCUUCAUUACGUUCCCACCAGAACCUCCUCUUCAAGGGUCAUGGACUGGUAGUAUACUUUACACCAUUUAUUUUCCUUGUCUGUCUGUCUGUCUUUGUUUAUUUUUAUUGAGUCAGAUUCCCAUCAUGUAGCUCAGGCCUACAGCUCACUAUGUACUCCACGCUGGCCACAAACUGGAGCUUAUCCUGCCUCAGCCAACCACGUGCUGGGUGGCAGAUGUGGGCCAGCAGGCCCUGCUGAAAGUGUUCCUUUCAUAGCCAACUUCGGAUAUACCCAUGUAUAACUUGCUUGUCAAAUAAAUAUCAUACUGGAAUCAUAAAGAUGGAAGUCAUUGUUGGCCUUAGCUGAGAAAACUAGUGUCUCCCAGGUCCUAGAUGUUUUGGGGAAACUUGGUCAAACUCUCUGAGGAAUUUAAUGGAACAGUUUCAUCUUGAGUCACCUGGGUCAGAGCAGAGCUCCGCAUCCUGUCUCUGGAGCUGGGGGUCUUGUUCCUUUCUUGGUGCUAUUCUAAUGGUAUUUUGCUCUU
ensembl:lincRNA Gm42575 predicted gene 42575